GACGAACGCUGGCGGCGUGCCUAAUACAUGCAAGUCGAGCGCAGGAAGUCAUCCGAACCCUUCGGGGGGACGUUGACGGAAUGAGCGGCGGACGGGUGAGUAACACGUAAAGAACCUGCCCUCAGGUCUGGGAUAACCACGAGAAAUCGGGGCUAAUACCGGAUGGGUCAUCGGACCGCAUGGUCCGAGGAUGAAAGGCGCUCCGGCGUCGCCUGGGGAUGGCUUUGCGGUGCAUUAGCUAGUUGGUGGGGUAAUGGCCCACCAAGGCGACGAUGCAUAGCCGACCUGAGAGGGUGAUCGGACACACUGGGACUGAGACACGGCCCAGACUCCUACGGGAGGCAGCAGUAGGGAAUCUUCCACAAUGGACGAAAGUCUGAUGGAGCAACGCCGCGUGAACGAUGAAGGCCCUCGGGUCGUAAAGUUCUGUUGUAAGGGAAGAACAAGUGCCGCAGGCAAUGGCGGCACCUUGACGGUACCUUGCGAGAAAGCCACGGCUAACUACGUG
rnacentral:rRNA from 1 species